rnacentral:rRNA from 1 species
AUACGGAGGGUGCAAGCGUUAUUCGGAAUCACUGGGCGUAAAGCGCGCGCAGGCGGCUAUUUAAGUUGGAUGUGAAAGCCUACGGCUCAACCGUAGAACUGCAUCCAAAACUAUUUAGCUAGAGUGUGGGAGAGGAAGAUGGAAUUAGUUGUGUAGGGGUAAAAUCCGUAGAGAUAACUAGGAAUACCAAAAGCGAAGGCAAUCUUCUGGAACACUACUGACGCUGAGGCGCGAAAGCGUGGGGAGCAAACAGGAUUAGAUACCCUAGUAGUCC